rnacentral:rRNA from 1 species
CCUUUAGGAGGGGGAUAACAGAGUGAAAACGCUGCUAAUACCCCAUAUGCUUUCGAGUGAAAUGGAUUUAUUCGCCUAAAGAGAAGCUCGCGGCUGAUUAGCUUGUUGGUAAGGUAAUGGCUUACCAAGGCGACGAUCAGUAUCUGGUUUGAGAGGACGAUCAGACACACUGGAACUGAGACACGGUCCAGACUCCUACGGGAGGCAGCAGUGGGGAAUUUUCCGCAAUGGGCGAAAGCCUGACGGAGCAAUACCGCGUGAGGGAUGACUGCCUAUGGGUUGUAAACCUCUUUUCUCAGGGAGGAAAUCAAUGACGUUACCUGAGGAAUAAGCAUCGGCUAACUCCGUGCCAGCAGCCGCGGUAAGACGGAGGAUGCAAGUGUUAUCCGGAAUCACUGGGCGUAAAGCGUCUGUAGGUGGCUUAACAAGUCAACUGUUAAAUCUUGAAGCUCAACUUCGAAAUC